rnacentral:rRNA from 1 species
UUGAACUGAAGAGUUUGAUCCUGGCUCAGAUUGAACGCUGGCGGCAUGCCUUACACAUGCAAGUCGAACGGCAGCACGGGUGCUUGCACCUGG